rnacentral:rRNA from 1 species
UACGGGGGGAGCAAGCGUUGUUCGGAUUUACUGGGCGUAAAGGGCGCGUAGGCGGCCACCGCAAGUCGACUGUGAAAUCUCCGGGCUUAACCCGGAAAGGUCAGCCGAUACUGCGGGGCUAGAGUGCAGAAGGGGCAACUGGAAUUCUCGGUGUAGCGGUGAAAUGCGUAAUAUCGAGAGGAACACCUGCGGCGAAGGCGGGUUGCUGGGCUGACACUGACGCUGAUGCGCGAAAGCUAGGGGAGCGAAGCGGG